GUGCUCGCUUCUGUAGCACGUAAUACAGAGAUUGGAACAAUAUAGAGAAAAUUAACCUGUCAUCAUACAAGGAUGAUGUGUAAAUUCGUGUCGUGUUCCGUAUUAAA
rnacentral:snRNA from 1 species